rnacentral:rRNA from 1 species
GAAUAUUGGACAAUGGGGGGAACCCUGAUCCAGCCAUGCCGCGUGUGUUAAGAAGGCCUUUUGGUUGUAAAGCACUUUAAGUGAGGCGGACGCUCCCUGGUUCAAUACUUUAGGCUAGUGGACGCUACUCUCAGAACAAGCACCCGCUAACUCUGUUCCACCAUCCGCGGUAAUCCAGAGGGUGCGAGCGUUAAUCGGAUUUACUGGGCGUAAAGCGUGCGUAGGCGGACAAUUAAGUCAAAUGUGAAAUCCCCGAGCUUAACUUGGGAAUUGCAUUCGAUACUGGUUGGCUAGAGUAUGGGAGAGGAUGGUAGAAUUCCAGGUGUAGCGGUGAAAUGCGUAGAGAUCUGGAGGAAUACCGAUGGCGAAGGCAGCCAUCUGGCCUAAUACUGACGCUGAGGUACGAAAGCAUGGGGAGCAAACAG